GUUCCCGUACGAUUACCGAAGUUAAGCAACGUCGAUCCUGGUCAGUACCGAGAUUGGUAACCGCUUGGGAAUACCAGGUGCUGUAAG